UACGUAGGGUGCGAGCGUUAAUCGGAAUUACUGGGCGUAAAGCGUGCGCAGGCGGUGAUGUAAGACAGGUGUGAAAUCCCCGGGCUUAACCUGGGAACUGCAUUUGUGACUGCAUCGCUGGAGUGCGGCAGAGGGGGAUGGAAUUCCGCGUGUAGCAGUGAAAUGCGUAGAUAUGCGGAGGAACACCGAUGGCGAAGGCAAUCCCCUGGGCCUGCACUGGACGCUCAUGCACGAAAGCGUGGGGAGCAAACAGG
rnacentral:rRNA from 1 species